AACGAACGCUGGCGGCAUGCCUAACACAUGCAAGUCGAACGAGACCUUCGGGUCUAGUGGCGCACGGGUGCGUAACGCGUGGGAACCUGCCCUUAGGUUCGGAAUAACUCCCCGAAAGGGGUGCUAAUACCGGAUAAUGUCUUCGGACCAAAGAUUUAUCGCCUUUGGACGGGCCCGCGUUGGAUUAGCUAGUUGGUAGGGUAAAAGCCUACCAAGGCGACGAUCCAUAGCUGGUCUGAGAGGAUGAUCAGCCACACUGGGACUGAGACACGGCCCAGACUCCUACGGGAGGCAGCAGUGGGGAAUAUUGGACAAUGGGCGAAAGCCUGAUCCAGCAAUGCCGCGUGAGUGAUGAAGGCCUUAGGGUUGUAAAGCUCUUUUACCCGGGACGAUAAUGACAGUACCGGGAGAAUAAGCUCCGGCUAACUCCGUG
rnacentral:rRNA from 1 species